AGUGAACGCUGGCGGUAGGCCUAACACAUGCAAGUCGAACGGCAGCACAGUAAGAGCUUGCUCUUACGGGUGGCGAGUGGCGGACGGGUGAGGAAUACAUCGGAAUCUACUUUUUCGUGGGGGAUAACGUAGGGAAACUUACGCUAAUACCGCAUACGACCUACGGGUGAAAGCAGGGGAUCUUCGGACUCUGCGCGAUUGAAUGAGCCGAUGUCGGAUUAGCUAGUUGGCGGGGUAAAGGCCCACCAAGGCGACGAUCCGUAGCAGGUCUGAGAGGAUGAUCGGCCACACUGGAACUGAGACACGGUCCAGACUCCUACGGGAGGCAGCAGUGGGGAAUAUUGGGCAAUGGGCGCAAGCCUGAUCCAGCCAUGCCGCGUGGGUGAAGAAGGCCUUCGGGUUGUAAAGCCCUUUUGCUGGGAAAGAAAAGCAGCAGGUUAAUACCCCGCCGUUCUGACGGUACCCAAAGAAUAAGCACCGGCUAACUUCGUG
rnacentral:rRNA from 1 species